rnacentral:rRNA from 1 species
UACGUAGGGGGCGAGCGUUGUCCGGAUUUACUGGGCGUAAAGGGUGAGUAGGCGGUUAUAUAUGUCAGGUGUAAAAGGCUAUGGCUUAACCAUGGUUAGCACUUGAAACUGUAUGACUUGAGUGCAGGAGAGGUAAGUGGAAUUCCUAGUGUAGCGGUGAAAUGCGUAGAUAUUAGGAGGAACACCAGUGGCGAAGGCGACUUACUGGACUGUAACUGACGCUGAGUCACGAAAGCGUGGGUAGCAAACAGGAUUAGAUACCCUGGUAGU